rnacentral:rRNA from 1 species
AUACGGAGGAUGCGAGCGUUAUCCGGAUUUAUUGGGUUUAAAGGGAGCGUAGGUGGGAUAUUAAGUCAGCUGUGAAAGUUUGGGGCUCAACCUUAAAAUUGCAGUUGAUACUGGUUUCCUUGAGUACGGUACAGGUGGGCGGAAUUCGUGGUGUAGCGGUGAAAUACUUAGAUAUCACGAAGAACUCCGAUCGCGAAGGCAGCUCACCGGGCCGGAACUGACACUGAUGCUCGAAAGUGCGGGUAUCAAACAGGAUUAGAUACCCUGGUAGUCCGCACAGUAAACGAUGAAUACUCGCUGUUUGCGAUACACUGUAAGCGGCCAAGCGAAAGCGUUAAGUAUUCCACCUGGGGAGUACGCCGGCAACGGUGAAACUCAAAGGAAUUGACGGGG